rnacentral:rRNA from 1 species
AGAACGAACGCCGGCGGCAUGCCUAAUACAUGCAAGUCGAACGAGAUCUUCGGGUCUAGUGGCGCACGGGUGCGUAACGCGUGGGAAUCUACCCUUGGGUUCGGAAUAACAGUUGGAAACGACUGCUAAUACCGGAUGAUGACGAAAGUCCAAAGAUUUAUCGCCCAAGGAUGAGCCCGCGUAGGAUUAGCUAGUUGGUGAGGUAAAGGCUCACCAAGGCUACGAUCCUUAGCUGGGUCUGAGAGGAUGAUCAGCCACACCUGGGACUGAGACACGGCCCAGACUCCUACGGGAGGCAGCAGUAGGGAAUAUUGGACAAUGGGGGCAACCCGUGAUCCAGCAAUGCCGCGUGAGUGAUGAAGGCCUUAGGUUGAAAGCUCUUUUACCCGAGAUGAUAAUGACAGUAUCGGAGAAUAAGCUCCGGCUAACUCUAGUGCCAGCAGCCGC